GACGAACGCUGGCGGCGUGCCUAACACAUGCAAGUCGAGCGAUGAAGUUUCCUUCGGGAAACGGAUUAGCGGCGGACGGGUGAGUAACACGUGGGUAACCUGCCCUAUAGAGGGGGAUAGCCUUUCGAAAGGAAGAUUAAUACCCCAUAAAAUCUUAGUACCGCAUGGUACAUAGAUCAAAGGAGUAAUCCGCUAUAGGAUGGACCUGCGGCGCAUUAGCUAGUUGGUGAGGGAACGGCUCACCAAGGCGACGAUGCGUAGCCGACCUGAGAGGGUGAUCGGCCACAUUGGGAUUGAGACACAGCCCAACAUCCUACGGGAGGCAGCAGUCGGGAAUAUUGAACAAUGGGGGAAACCCUUGUGCAGCAACGCCGCGUGAUUGAUGACGGUCUUCGAAUUGUAAAGCUCUGUCUUCAGGGACGAUACUGACGGUACCUGAGGAGGAAGCCAUGGAUAACUACGUGCCUGCCGCCGCCGUAAAAC
rnacentral:rRNA from 1 species